CCUACGGGAGGCAGCAGUGGGGAAUAUUGCACAAUGGGGGAAACCCUGAUGCAGCGACGCCGCGUGAGUGAAGAAGUAUUUCGGUAUGUAAAGCUCUGUCAGCAGGGAAGAAAAUGACGGUACCUGACCAAGAAGCCCCGGCUAACUACGUGCCAGCAGCCGCGGUAAUACGUAGGGGGCAAGCGUUAUCCGGAUUUACUGGGUGUAAAGGGAGCGUAGACGGCAGGGCAAGUCUGGAGGGAAAGGCGGGGGCUCAACCCCCGGACUGCUCUGGAAACUGCCAGGCUGGGGGGGAGGAGAGGUAAGGGGAAAUCCUAGGGUAGCGGGGAAAAGCGGAGAUAAUAGGAGGAACAGCAGGGGCGAAGGCGGCUUACUGGACUGUAACUGACGUUGAGGCUCGAAAGCGUGGGGAGCAAACAGGAUUAGAUACCCCAGUAGUC
rnacentral:rRNA from 1 species